UUCACCAUUCUCAUCUUCGCCGACCUCUCAUCUUCAACCACGAUCACUCUCUGGAAACCGCACAGUUCCGAUUGGAGGAGAGAACGGAAAACUCGACGGAGAAGGAUUGUAGGAUUAACAAGUGUUGAAUCCAUGGUUUGAGAAGUUGUGGAAGCAGUUUGGGAUUGCACAGGUUUUGUGAGGUGAUCCUCAAUUGGUUCAAGAGAAUCCUUGAUCGUCCGUGUGUUAUUUCCAAAUUCCACUGGCGGGUAACAACAACAAUGCCUCUGUAAAUCUUGAAAAAGAGCAGGAAGGAUAGCCGGCUUUACAUCAAUAAUUUGCCUAGUCCAAUUCCUCAGUCACUAACCAGUAUCCAAGACCUCCAGCGAUGUUUUUAAUAUUUGGUAGACGCUGGUUAUGCAAAUUGCCCUGGUUUCCUUGCGUCUUUUCGAGGACAACGCUACCAUUUAAGUUCUUGGGCCGAUGGGCAUCAACCACUUACAACUCAAGAAUUUUUCAACAUGAAACAUGCUAGCGCAAGAAACGUAAUUGAGCGGACAUUCGUACUUCUAAGAAGUCGCUGGAAAAUCUUAUCUAGCCCAAGUUUUUAUAAUAUAGCCACUCAAUGGCGUAUCAUUAAUGCUUGUUGUUUGCUUCAUAACUUCAUCAGACAAGAAAUGGUAGAAGAUCCUGCAGAAGAUAAUGUUGGUGAUGAAACCUUAGAAGAAAGCACAGCAGAUGAUACAGAAAACAUUAUGGCUGUUGAACCAACAGAUGAAUGGACACAAUUUCGGCUUAACAUGGCCUUGGAUAUGUUUAAUGCUUCGCACUCAACUUGAGCAUAAUAAAAUUGUUAAUUACUUUAUUGUAGUGGUUUGUAUAGCAUGAUGGACACAAUUUGUAAUGCUAUUGUUUGUAUGAAGAACCAACAAGUACUUUGUCAAUUAUUUUGAUAUUUGUCUAUUAUUUCAA